CUAUGAGGAUUGACGAUACUGCGGCGCUGGAUGACCUUUAUUGGCGUGUUCUGACCAGCGGUCGCUGUGGCGGCGACACGAGCCGCUUGUUCCCCGUGUCCCUGUCAAAACACGGCGGGGGUUUUAUUAUCGUUUCUCCAACCCGGCGCCGACGACGUUCAUUUGAAAUGGGAGGCAACGCGAGCGCGGCGAGGAAAGUGUCCUUCGGACUGGACGAAGACGAAAAGGUCACAGUCAUUGAAGGAGUGAAGCUCUCGGAGGAUGUGCUCCGUCGGAUGAGGGAAAGCCAGGAGUCUCCCGGCUCCAAGCCGCCUCCAGCAUCACUGGACAAGCCGCAUACAAGUCCAAAACAAACCAGACCUACCACUACAGAGAUACAGGAAGAGCUACGCAAAGACUUUGAGUGGCAGCAGGCUGUGGUGCAGGAGCAGCUGAACAGACUGGCCCAGAGGGAGCGAGACAAUGCUGCAAUCACCAGUCUGGAUGAGCUGACCCCUUCUGUCAUUAUCGAGAAAGGGAAGGUCCGCGAGGAGCAAGAAAAGGCCCAGAUACUUCCAGCCGAUCUGGAUGCUUGGGCCAAACAACUGAAGAGGAAAGAGAGCGAACUGGCCAGUAUCUCCAGCUUUUACAAAGAGCAGCUAGAAAUACUAGAGAAGAAGAACCUUGACAACUACAACGAGACGGCUGAACAGUACAACCAAGCUGCUGCCAAAGCGGAAACCCAUAUCCGGCCCCGGCACACUGGGCCCGUGUGCGCCGAGCUGCAGGCCAAAGUGCUCCAGUGCUACAGAGAGAAUCCACAGCAGACGCUGCACUGCUCCAGCCUGGCCAGGCAGUACAUGACCUGUGUCCAGCAGGCCAAGAAGGUGAGGAACCUGACUGAUGGGAAGUAGAGGAAUUCUGCUGUUUCCUCCUAAGAGGAAAAAUGAGGCAUGAGUCUUUGUAUCGAGGAUGAAAGAGGAGGGAUAGAAGGUGUCUGUCAACUGGGGGCUUGCUGACCAAUCACGGCUGAGGAACCCGGCGAACCAGAAGAAGGAAGGAAAGAAAGAAGGAGGAAGAGAGCGCGUCACAUGCAUCCAUUUCUCACCUCCCAUUCCCUCCUUCCUCCGUCCAUUCAUUGAUUUAGCUCCUAUCACCCAAUAAUCCCCCCCUUCUUUCCCAAUCACCGUCCUCUUUGGUUUUUGAGAGUAUUAUCUUGACUCGUCACUCCAGAAUUCAUGAUGUGUUGAUUUAUUGUCGAGUUGCGCCGGCACACCGCUGCCGUCACUGAAAUAAAUCCCAGUGAUCCAGUGGUGAUGAGACUGCAGGUGGUGUGUCUUUGUGUGUGUGUGUGUGUGUGUGUGUGUGUGUGUGUGUGUGUGUGUGUGUGGAGUGUCUUGUCACGACAUGCUAAUAAUCCUUCUACUGCCGACGCGGUUGUGUUCACCCUUCUGACAGUGCUGUUCAAACCCAGGGGCUUGAUUGUGAGCAGUUUCAUUAAGCAAGAGCGAGAAGGGGAAUAAGGACUAAAUGAAUGCAUGGCAGAUGAAUAUGAAUUAAAUAUUAACAUGUA